rnacentral:rRNA from 1 species
CAGUAGCCACGGGAAUACGGAGGGUGCAAGCGUUAAUCGGAAUUACUGGGCGUAAAGCGUGCGUAGGCGGUGAGUUAAGUCUGCUGUGAAAUCCCCGGGCUCAACCUGGGAAUGGCAGUGGAUACUGGCUCGCUAGAGUGUGUCAGAGGAUGGUGGAAUUCCCGGUGUAGCGGUGAAAUGCGUAGAGAUCGGGAGGAACAUCAGUGGCGAAGGCGGCCAUCUGGGACAACACUGACGCUGAGGCACGAAAGCGUGGGGAGCAAACAGGAUUAGAUACCCCUGUAGUCCAUGUCUCUUAUAC